GGCUUUAACGUCCCUUUAUAUUUCUUCUUGUUUUGCUGUGAGAGAGUGUGUACUAGAUUCUUAGAUGGUGCUUUGUUACGGUGCUACGUAAUGGAAAAGCAAAAAUUCAGCCAGUGCACACUGUGAAACUAUCCCGGGAAUGAAAACAUCCGAUAUUUGUACACUAUCCAACAUAAUGAACCUUAAUAAAAGACGAGUCACGUCCGUGGUAGCAGCGCUACUUCUGCUAAUUUCAGCCUAUUGACAAAAACAGACAAACCAGACGGCAUACAGCUUACCAAGUUUCCUGCUGGUGACAAGGUUUGUCUAAAUGACAUCAUAGUCCUACCUGCCAUGCGUCAGCCAUUCCACCGGUCAGCAGCCACACCUACAGCAAUGGCGUCAGGCUUGUGACACAUUCCAAUCCAAACUACACAACGCAGGCAGCCCGUGGAAAUAACACAUUCAAGUGUUUUACUGAGAAUCUUGUUGGAAUAGGAGAAAGCGCAGCAAUCAGGGGCGUAGCCAGGGGGGUGGCCAAGGGGGCCCGGGCCCCCCUUCUAGCAGCCAAAAAUACAGUAAAUGUAUGAGACAUUAUCUAAAACAGGAGAAAAUGCCAUGAAAGUGCCUUUUUGCCCCUUCCUGUAAAAAUCCUGGCUACGCCGCUGGCAAUAAGUGUCACUACUAAGAACCACCAUUCGUAAGAAGCUACGACUCACUACAAAAUGUUGUAGAGGGAUCCCAUGUGCCAAUACAGUGCACCGCAUCUGGUACAGCGCCUUUGAACGUUGCAAUAUAUAAACCAGACGGCUCGAUGCUGACCGGCUCCGAGAGCUACACGUUCAUUCCUAGAAGAGAUGAGGGGAUCACACAUGCAUCGCGAACAACGGCAACGAAUGCCCGGCUCUGUAUGCAUACUUAUCUGAUUUUAAAAAUGUGGAUCUGUUUUGUCUUGUUCGUUUCGGAUAGUCUUCUCCCGCAAUAGAAGGGCCGUUCUCACCGGGUCGUUCCUUCAAAAACAAAGGGUUCCAAUUCUGACACCAUUUCACGAUAUGAACCUUGAAGUUAUGCAAUACGAGACUUUACCACCGGGAAUGUAUACCAAUCUUUACAGGCGAAACAACACAGUGAAGAUGCGCAGUACGCCCCACUGAAUCCUGGGACACGCAUAGCGACCAUUCCUGGGGACAGGGACAAGAAGGGACAUGGUUAUGAAAUGGAAGAGGAUUUGUACCAGGAGUUGGACAGUAUGGCGGAACAUACCGUUCAAAAUGAAUCUGGCAAUUUUCGGAGCCGGAAAUAACAAUUCUCGGAGCCUGGUAUAAAUUGUAGGACGUCGUUAAUAUUCCCCGUCGUCGGAUAAUAAUUCACAGACCCGUGCAUUUAAAGUAAGAAUACAUAACCAGGGCAUAAGCUAGACUGGAUUAGAAGCAAAGUUGUCAUCAACGUGCGAAGUUCGACAUUAUCACCACAAAGCUGGAUAACCUUCAAAUAUCACCGUGUGAACUCGAUAUAGAUCCACCUUGAAACUCAACAAAGCCGGGUAUCCUUAUAUAAUACCACCAGCGUGCGAACUAGGCCUUACAGUAAUUUAGACACGUGAUACCAUUUAGUAUCAUCAGCGUGUAGACUAGACCAUCACCACCUAUUAUAUCAGCAAAUCCGAAUACAAGAAUUAUGAUACUGUGUAAGUUCACUUUCACUAAAUGUAUGCAGUUGCGUAGGUUAAAAAUAGUGACGAAUAAGUAAAAAAAUAUAUGUAAAACAAGAAAAAA